AUGCGUGAUCAGGUCGGCAUCGACCUGGACGGCUUCCCCCUCGACCACGAGUUCCCGGAUGACUAUGGGCUAGAGGAAGAGGACGAGUGCGACAUCGAAGUGGAGCCUUUGUUCGAGAACGAGCUCGCCAACCAAGCCGCCGGGCCGAAGCCGAAGCGCAAGAGCAAACGCACGAAGGCGUACACAGCUGCCGAGGACAAGCUUCUAUGCGAGUGUUGGUGA
rnacentral:rRNA from 1 species